rnacentral:rRNA from 1 species
ACGGCAGCACAGGAGAGCUUGCUCUCUGGGUGGCGAGUGGCGGACGGGUGAGGAAUACAUCGGAAUCUACUUUUUCGUGGGGGAUAACGUAGGGAAACUUACGCUAAUACCGCAUACGACCUACGGGUGAAAGCAGGGGAUCUUCGGACCUUGCGCGAUUGAAUGAGCCGAUGUCGGAUUAGCUAGUUGGCGGGGUAAAGGCCCACCAAGGCGACGAUCCGUAGCUGGUCUGAGAGGAUGAUCAGCCACACUGGAACUGAGACACGGUCCAGACUCCUACGGGAGGCAGCAGUGGGGAAUAUUGGACAAUGGGCGCAAGCCUGAUCCAGCCAUACCGCGUGGGUGAAGAAGGCCUUCGGGUUGUAAAGCCCUUUUGUUGGGAAAGAAAUCCAGCCGGCUAAUACCUGGUUGGGAUGACGGUACCCAAAGAAUAAGCACCGGCUAACUUCGUGCCAGCAGCCGCGGUAAUACGAAGGGUGCAAGCGUUACUCGGAAUUACUGGGCGUAAAGCGUGCGUAGGUGGUUAUUUAAGUCCGUUGUGAAAGCCCUGGGCUCAACCUGGGAACUGCAGUGGAUACUGGAUGACUAGAGUGUGGUAGAGGGUAGCGGAAUUCCUGGUGUAGCAGUGAAAUGCGUAGAGAUCAGGAGGAACAUCCAUGGCGAAGGCAGCUACCUGGACCAACACUGACACUGAGGCACGAAAGCGUG